AUGUUCUGGUACCUCAGAGCUCCCCAGGUCACCUCCUCUCAUGUUCUGGUACCUCAGAGCUCCCCAGGUCACCAAGGUACCUCUUCCUUUACUGGUACCUCAGAGAUCCCAGGUCACCCGCCUCUCAUGUUCUGGUACCUCAAAAGCUCCCCCAGGUCAACCCCUCUCAUGUUCGGUACCUCAGAGAUCCCCAGGUCAACCCCCUCUCAGUUCUGGUACCUCAGGAGCUCCCCAGGUCACCUCCUCUCAUGUUCUGGUACUCAGAGCUCCCAGGACAACCCUCUCAUGUUCUGGUACCUCAGAGCUCCCCAGGUCAACCCCUCUCAUGUUUCUGGUACCUCAGAGCCCCCCAGGUCACCUGCUCCAGUUCUGGUACCUCAGAGCUGCCCAGGUCAACCCCCUUUCAUGUUCUGGUACCUCAGAGCUCCCCAGGUCAACCCCCUCUCAUGUUCUGGUACCUCAGAGCCCCCCAGGUCAACCUCCUCUCAUGUUCUGGUACCUCCGAGCUCCCCAGGUCAACUCCCUCUCAUGUUCUGGUACUCAGAGAUCCCCAGGUCAAACCCCUCUCAUGUUCUGAGGUACCAUCAGAGAUCCCCAGGUCAACCCCUCUCAUGUUCUGGUACCUCAGAGAUCCCCAGGUCACCCCCUCUCAAGUUCCGGUACUCAGAGCUCCCCAGGUCAACCCCUCUCAUGUUCUUGGUACCUCAGAGCUCCCCAGGUCAACC
rnacentral:lncRNA from 1 species